rnacentral:rRNA from 1 species
CGGCGGACGGGUGAGUAACACGUGGAUAACCUACCUAUAAGACUGGGAUAACUUCGGGAAACCGGAGCUAAUACCGGAUAAUAUUUUGAACCGCAUGGUUCAAAAGUGAAAGACGGUCUUGCUGUCACUUAUAGAUGGAUCCGCGCUGCAUUAGCUGGUUGGUAAGGUAACGGCUUACCAAGGCAACGAUGCAUAGCCGACCUGAGAGGGUGAUCGGCCACACUGGAACUGAGACACGGUCCAG